rnacentral:rRNA from 1 species
UACGAAGGGGGCUAGCGUUGCUCGGAAUUACUGGGCGUAAAGGGUUCGUAGGCGGUGCGGUAAGUUGGGUGUGAAAUCUCUGGGCCUAACCCAGAGGCUGCUUUCAAAACUGCUGUGCUCGAGUGCGAGAGAGGUCAGUGGAAUUGCAGGUGUAGCGGUGAAAUGCGUAGAUAUCUGCAGGAACACCCGUGGCGAAGGCGGCUGACUGGAUCGCAACUGACGCUGAGGAACGAAAGCUAGGGGAGCAAACAGG